rnacentral:rRNA from 1 species
GAUGAACGCUGGCGGCGUGCCUAACACAUGCAAGUCGAGCGGUAACGCGGGAGCAAUCCUGGCGACGAGCGGCGAACGGGUGAGUAACGCUUCGGAAUCUACCCAGUAGUGGGGAAUAACCAACCGGAAGGUUGGCUAAUGCCGCAUACGACCUGAGAGUGAAAGGGGGGGAUCGCAAGACCUCUCGCUAUUGGAUGAGCCGAAGUCGGAUUAGCUCGGUGGUAGGGUAACGGCCUACCAAGGCGACAAUCCGUAGCUGGUCUGAGAGGACGACCAGCCACACUGGGACUGAGACACGGCCCAGAAUCCUACGGGAGGCAGCAGUGGGGAAUAUUGGACAAUGGGGGCAACCCUGAUCCAGCGACGCCGCGUGUGUGAAGAAGGCCUGCGGGUUGUAAAGCACUUUUAGUGGGGAUGAAAAGCUCAGGGCUAAUACCCUUGAGUCUUGACCUAACCCAAAGAAAAAGCACCGGCUAACUCUGUGCCAGCCGCCGCCGUAA